CACUCUGCCUCCGGAGCCCUCUCUGGCUCCAAGAACAUGGUCUCCCACCUUAUCUGUGGAGCUGGGUGCCCCCUGGUGGCCGCAGUGUUGACUUAGGUUUUAGGCUAGCUUUCCCAGCCUAUGUCCGCGUGCCAGAGGAGGCCAGCUGGUCUCAUCACUGCUCGUCUGGGAGAACGUACUCAGCUUGGACCUUCGGGUGACCAUGCUGAAGGAGAGCCCAGAGCAUCAUGAUAAAGCAACUGAGCAGCUGCUGAGGAGGUUCGGGAGAGGUGGCUCCGUAGGGGCUCCUGUGGUUUGCUCCCAGAAACUGCGACAAUGACACAUUCAUCAGUGGCUGUUUUGUAGCCCUCACCUGGCAUCUUUGGCAGAGAUGGAUUCCCCUACUCAGUGAGUGAGGGACUCUGAGGAGGUUGGCCUAGAAGAAGGAAAGAGAUCUGUGCAAGUCAUCAAGUCUCCAGUGUCACGAAUAACUGGUUUCUGUGCAAAACUCUAUGUUGGGAGGGCUGCAUCUGGGUGAGAAUGCAUUACACCUGGAUUUCUGAAUCUGCAAAUUGAGAACAAUAGCAAUCCGUACUUCACCCGGUUAUUUUGCAAAUACAACAUAGGCGAAGGCUUGGUGCGCUCCUAGCAUUUCUGCCUGGACAUCAGGCUGCGGUCCGCCAGACGCGCAUGUGCGGGAACCUCAGGAAGUCAGAGCGGGUCACUCAGGUUCGCUCUAGACAGCGAAGGCGGAGACGAAAUUCUGCCCUUUACCUGCUGAGGCUCGCUCAGGGGUUGUGGACUCCCCCGCUGACGCCUGGGCAAGCCCCAGCGUGCUCCACUCUCCGUAGGGUAUGGGUGGGAGUGGGCUCUUGGCCCUAGGCUGCCGGACGGCCAAGAGCUUACCCAGGAGGCGGAGGAGAAGGGGGGUAACCUAGCUCAAGGACCAGAGGCAUGUGGAGCAGGUCGUGGAGCAGAUUGUGACAUUCCCAGCGAGAAGAGACUGGCCUGGCUGCCGAAUGGCUGAACUUCAACCAGACCUGGAGCACCUUGUGAGAUGAUACCCGAGAGGAAGAAGGGACGCAGGAGCUACUGGGCUGGAGGGCUCCUUCUUUUCCUUCUCUGGUGUUUUCUUUGUAUCUUUGCCCCCCAGGAUUUGGUGAAGGUGGAUAGAAAGUUGCCCAGAAGGCAGACAUGGUCGCUCAUGGCUUUAGUCCCGGGACUAGGGAGGUAGAGGUGGGUAGAUCUCUGUGAGUUCGAGGCUAAUCUGGUUGGUCUAUACAGUGAUUUCUGGGAUAGCCAGGGCUAUAUAGUGAGAUCCUGUCUUUUAAAAAAAAGUUAUUCAUAGGAUGCAUUUGAGAUAAAUGGCAAACAUCUCCCCUUUCCCCAUAGCUGGGGGGUGGGAGACUGAAGGGGUGCUAUGGGGGUGGUGGCAGGCAGCUGGGGGCUGAGUGUCUCCUCAGCUGAUCUCCUAGGAACACAGUCACCACUGUCUUCAUCUUGUGCCUGUGUGAAAUGCUUAAAUCCCCCCAAUUUGUAGAAACACAGCCCCCCUUUUUUAUAAGCCUCAUAUAUUCUCAUCAUUGAUAUAUAUCAAUAUAUACAACAUAUAUAUAGGCAGGUGGUGAGUGUUCCCAGGUUGUUCAACCCUUUGUUCCCAGGAGAUGGUGGUAGCCUAAGAAGCUGCCAGGUCCGGACCAAAGAAGAGCUGGCCAGUGGUUAGCCCAGAAAGAGGUGACAUGAGACCAGAGCUCUAGGAUCUGAGCAGGGGUUGUGGGUAUCAGCCAAUUAAGGGUCUUUGGGGACUGAACUCUGAGAGGCUACAUCCCCCAGAAAGACCUGGAAAGCUUCAGGGACCCCAUUGAGCAUGCUCAGACAACCACACCAGUUGGCCACCACUCCUUUGGGUGGGAUGUGUCUUCCUCCUUGUUUAGACAGUAGGGCUUGUCGAGGGAGGUGACCAAGAGGUGACCCUGGAGGGAUGGGGCUGGAGGCUUAGGACACAGGAACUGAACGUCUCCCUGUCCAGGGGACAUUCAGUCACUUCUAGCUGCUUUCCUGCCAGGAGAUGUGACAGGCCCCAGAGGCCUGGAUUACUCCAGCUUGGCUUGGGAGAAUGUCACUGUAGUCUGAGAACGUUUCUGGUUGAGGUCUCUGGGGUCUCUGUAUCAAGAAACUAUCCUAGCCUUGCAUGGUGGCAAAUGCCUAUAAUACCAACACCUAGGAAGUGGAAGCAGAGAGAUUUCCAGUUCAAAGCCUGCCCUGGGUUGCACAGCAAGGCCUUUCUUAAACAAGAGAAAAAGGGAGUUAAAGAGCUGCCCCAGCGGUUAAGAACACCAUCUGCUCUUCUAAAGGACCUGGGUCCUUUAGAAAACCUGGUCCUAGCUCCCGCAUGGCAGCUCAGAACUGCCUGUGACUCUAGUUCCAGGAGAUCUGAC